ensembl:lncRNA
GUUCAAUCCAUCAUAAAUUGAUUGUUAUUAAAAAUGUACUAACAUUGGAUUUACAUUUUCUAUAUUUGAAGGUUGUUAUUAUUAUUAUCCAGAACUUUAUUUCCAAGUUAUGAUUUGUGGUUUCUGUUCUCUAUAUUCUUUUUAAUAAAUUUUACAUAUUAUUACACCUUGACCGUCUGAAUUGGAUUAAAUUUUGCAUCAGUUAAUGGAGGCACCGCUGGGAUACUGAUCGAUCCUUGAAGUAUAUUUGAUGCAUCGCAAGGCAAGAUAAAGAGAGGUGAGUUGCUCAUCUAAUUCUCUUUAUGGGCUUCUGUUGUGCAAACCUGCCGAGUCUAAGAGCUAUAUCUGCGGACCCAUUUCGUUCAUUUUUCUUGACUGCAGCAAGAGAACGAAUUUGGGGCGGUACGGUGGUUUAACCGUGUGUGAGGAAUGAGUGCGCGCUCUGUGUUUGAGAACGGCGAUUUGCGGCAUUAAAUGUGUUGUUCACUGAAGGGGUUUACCGACAGUGUAGAUAAUUCUGCGUAGCAAGUACACUUUGCGGGGUUUACCGGAGGUGUAUUGCGGGUGCUUUCAGGGUUUACUGAAGCGCAACAGUUUUUGAGACACGCGCUGUCAGGGAUUACUGCAGCGUGCUGGUCAGAUCUGUAUGUCGAUUCUCUGUUUUUGAUAUAGGCUCUGGGAUGGACUCGGCAGUCUUGACACUGGCAGAAUUCCACCUUGCGACUAAAUUCUAAAUCCAUAUAUUUUGACAAUUGUUUGAAUGUGGCAGAAUACCACGUUGUGACUGGCUUUCAAUUUUGUAUAAUUGUUAUAACUGUCAGACGGCUGAUCAAAUUAAACAAAUUAAGAGUAAAGAGAACACCAAAUUUAUCAAUUUAAUUAAGUGAAUUUAAUUAAGUGUAUUUAAUUGAGUGUAUCUGAAUUGAAUAAAACUUUUUCUUUGUUGGGGGUGUCAACACACAAAGUAAUGGCUCAUGUGUAUGUAAAAGGAGCUCCUAACGAAGCUCUCACUGCUCAAGUAGCGAUGUUAGGCAUCGGAAAUAAAGAAAAGAUUAAACAGAAAAUGGCUAAAGAUGAAUUUAAAGAAAUAUGGGGUGCAUAGGCAGUGUGAAUGGGGGUGAUGAAGGAAGAUAAUAAGAUAAUGAUCCUAAGAAACAAAAGAAAUAUGCACAAGUUUUGUGUUGUUUGAGGAUUGUGCAAGCAAAAGGUAUUUUAACAUAUCGCAAUGGAAGAAUAGUUUAUGUGGAUAAACUGGCACAAGCCACUAGAGAUGCUACGCAAGAUAUGUGAGAUUUAUUAGACAUUGUAACUAAGGAACCAAGAGCAGAUACAGGGAGAGUUCCUAAAAUCGAUGAUAUUUAUAGCUGGCAGGAAUAUGCUUCAAAACUGAAAGCAGCGAUUGCCAAGGCAGGGAGACAUGUGACGAAUGUUUCUGAAAACUGUGGUAUACAGGUUGCAGCUAUUUCUCCUGGGCACUUGGAGGAAACUGAGGAUGAGUGGGGCGAGUAUUUGAAACUGCGUCCAAAACUACCCCGCUGUAGUGAAAUUGAUCAGGAAUCGACGGCGGCUGGUCAAGUGGGGGUUUAUCGAUCUAUGGGUGUGCGAGAUUUGACUAUUGUAAAUACAUUGCCACUCAUGAAAUCUAACAGUACCAAUUCAGAAUUUUGGGAUCGUUUGUGGGUAAUGGCAAGAGCCAACCGCCUAGCAGUAAAAGAUAAAAGAUCCGUAUUCAAUUUGGGAGCAAGUCUGCCCGUCUACAUACACGGGACAGAUCAUCUCACCCCUCCUUUACAGCCACCAGCGAAUGAAGAUGAUUACGCAACUCAGUACAGAGUGCUGCGUACUGAAGUACAGCGUGCAGUUGGAAAUGGAAUUCAAACUUUCACUAAUGUGACAAUGAUUAGGCAGGGUCCUAAUGAACCAUUUGUUGAUUACACUGAGCGAUUCACAAAGGCACUGAAAGAAUUUGUGGCCGCACGAUGGGGGCCUGACUUAGAUUCUCCAAUCAUGCUCCAUACUGCGCAGUUAAAUAUGAAUGCUAAAUUUACACAGUUGUUUCAUUCUUCUCUGUCAACAAUUAUUGACUGAUCUUCUUUUGUUGCAUGGGGGACACGGGCUCAAGACAUCGUGGAACAACAAAAGAAGGGACUAGUUGCUGCAGUUGGUCAGACCUCUGCUCCAGCAUUUCGCUGUUAUCAUUGCCAGCGUGAUGGUCACUACGCAAACAGGUGCCCUGAUCGAAAUUUAGAGUGAAAUUUCAGAAAGCCUAGUUCCUCUUUUCAACAACAGCAGACACCAAAACCACUUCCUCGAGAUUGUGCUUAAAAAUAACCCUGGUGCAGAGAAGCAGGGUGCUGACCUGGAAGCAGGUUGAAAAAUUGACAAGAGUCCUUGAGAAUACAGACUGACAGAUAGUGGCCUCCAUUUUAUAUGAACACCCUCGUCCAUUUUUACAUGCUAACCUAAGAGGCCAGGAUAGCUACAUUCUUGUGGGCCCUCGGGUCUGCAUCUCAGUAACUGUUAUUAAUUUGCCUUUAACAAACAAACAAUUGCAUCUUCAAGGUAUAUCUGGUCGCAGUCUUUUCACACAGUCUCUAUUGAUUUCUCCAAUAAUAUAUCCAUUUGAACAGCCUUUUUGUGUGCAAUUCUGGGUUGGACAAAGCCAAGUUGGCAUGGUAAUGGGAAUGGAUAUAUUGAGUAAAUUGGAAGCAGAUGUUUUGCUGACUAGGGGUCAAUUAAUUAGUCAGUAUUUACCAAUUCCCAUACCAGUGUUUAAUAAAACUGGAAUUCCUUAAUUAAGCCUUGGAGCUAUCACAGCUAAUGAAAAGGAGUCUACUGAUUCCUCAGUGAUACAAUAUUUCUCUGAGAAAUUUCCAAAAUUGUGGUCAACUUCUAAACUUGAUGUUGGUCUUUGCAGGAUUAAACCUUUGAAUGUUUCAGAUCCUAUACAUCCUCCAGUAUUCCAGUAUCCUCUUCGGAGAGAAGCAGAGAGAGCUGCACAGGAAAUUGUGAACCAGCUUCAGGAAUCAGGGAUAUUGGUACGAGUGCAUGCUGUCACAGAAAUAUUCUGCGUAUAUUUACCACACACGACUGGUUCUAAGGGUGACCCUUUAAUGUGACUUCUGCAACAGUGCAGCUCAUUGACAUUCUGGGAGUGGUUGCUGUGCUCGUGGCUGGACAUCAGUGUUUCAUCGCAUCAUCAUAACAUUACUCGUUAACUAAUUCUACGUCAUCUGAGAGACCUGUGCUAAAGUCUACCAGCUGAUAUAUAUAGAUUUACAUAUAGAUCAAAAGAUAUUUUUAUUCUCCCAUUUGUAGUGAUGAGGAAAUCUAUACCUUACAGGUGAAGGGUAAGGAAAGGUAUGAGAUGUUGAAAACGAUCAACGAAAGUUUGGAAAUUAAUAUCUUCAACUGCUAUCUCCCAAGGGCAAGAAGAGAAAGAACAAUGAUAGAGUUUAGAGUUGGGAAAGAUGGACGGCUGUGUUAAGUCCUCAACCCAGCAAAAGUCCAGGGGACGCCAGGGGUCGAAUUUCCUUAGGAGUUCUCGUCUGGCCAUCUUGGUGAAGAUCUUUGUUAAUUUUAAGGUAGCUGGGGUUAGAGAGGUAUCUACAGUACUAUCUAUCUGAAAUUGUUUUAUUGAUUUUCUACAUUUUCAUGUAUGCAUCAUGUAUUUUUCUUUUGAAUUACUCUGUAUUUUUUGGUUUUGAUUUAAGGAAAAGGUUGUGGCGAGUCUUUUGAUAAGACUCGAGUGGGGGAUUGGUGUGUGGAGAUUCUAAGAAAUCCACAUGGUGAUAGAGAUUCUGAGAAGAAGUCCACGUAUUUAAAUUAAACCCAAGUGUUGUUGAGAGAUUCUGAGAAGUCACGUACUCAGAAUGUGUUCUAUUCAUAAUGAUAAGUUUCAUUUCAAAAGUUAAAAAAAUAAUAUUUCAUGUCUCAUAUAUAUAUAUAUAUUAAUAGGUUUCAUUUUUAUAUUCAAAAAUGUUUUUGGUAAACUUUAUGGUAUAUUUCAUAUGUAAUUUCACAGUAUUUCUAACUAAGUAGUCAGCUGAGUCUGUUUUGCAUAUGAAGUUGAACUGUAUGUAUUGUUCUUUUGUAUCAAUAUUUCUUAGAAUUAUCAGUAUGAUACUUUGAAUCUAAAAGAGGAAGAAGUCCAAAAUCGAGACAUUGACUAGACUAUUUUUAAAGGUCAGGUGUUAUUAGUGAUAGCCAGAUGACGACUUAUGUCUAGAACAACAGUAUAUAAGAUAGACUCUGCAAAAUAGAAUAGGGUUUUGACUUUCUGAGACUCUGGUCUCUCUAUCUUUUCAGCUCACUUCCUCUUCUUUGGCUUCACUCGACAACUCUUAGACUCAGACUUAGAACUCUUACAGGUUUUUAUUCAAAUUCAG